ACAACACGUACGUAAAUCCAUACUGUCAUACAAUAAUUUAUAUCCUUUUGAGGUUCUCUGUUAUAACACUAAACAUUAAUAUGUUCCUUGUUAUUUUUUCACCCUACAAACAUCUAUGCACAAUAUCCAGAACCAACAACUGGUGAUCGAACGCACUGCUGCCUCCACACAGCAACCUCCAUCCACACUAAAACCAAUUCAGGUUGAAGAUAAGCAGCUCCAAGAUUUAGAAACAAUGAAUCCAUAUGACUUUCCGGAAAAUGGAUGCCGCUGCACUGUGACAAUUACUCGCUUGGUUCAAACCAUAGCAUGGUGGUUUGCGUCAUGCAACAGAUGCAGUCGUGCUUGCACUCCAAAUGGCCCAGGAUAUAAAUGCACCACAUGUUCUUGCACAGGCUAUCGCUUCAAGUACAAAUUAUGCUUUGUAGCAAAUGACGGCACUGCUGAAGCUGAAAUGGUUGCUUUUAGUGAAGUUGGACGCCGCAUAGUUGGUAAACUAGUUCAGCAGGUCCUGAGAGCCACAAGAAUUGCAAAUGACAUCCCACCGGACAUUGCAGCUAUAGUUUCACUGAAAUUCACUUUGCAAUUACCCUGAUGAAUCAAAGUUACUACAGCCCAGAGAAAUCAUACCAGGUGAACUCUAUCAUCGCUGCCUAUGGGAGGCAACAUACACUCCCACAACUAAGAAACAAUCAAAACAAAGGGCUAUUAAAUCCUCAAAUGACAAUUCACUCAAGCACCCAACAAGAAUCAUUGAUGUCUAAACCAAGCAUCAACAAGAAUCAUUGAUGUCCAGACCAAGCAUCCAUGCUGACACACAUCACAUUGACCCCUAUGCCUCUCCACCUGCUGCUACUCCUCCAUCUGCAUCAAAGUCUACCACGACUUCUACACCAUCAGAUACUCAAAGAACAGCCACUGAAAAUACACUUCCCCCUUUACUAGACUAUACUGAAUCAGUAUCAAGAAAUCUCAACUUUGGGAUGCUGCUGAUGCCUCUAGCCACUCUGGUGCUAAAAGAAAGCUCUUUCAAGAAAGCCAAGAUGCAACAAAGGUAAGUAUACAUUGUCCUCUUUGACACUUAUUAUAAACCCUCUAUAUACAUACAUGUAUUUCAAACCACUAAAACCCAUACACCUACUUUGAACCUUACACUUUUUUACCUGUGUAGGAAACCAAUAUAAGCUAUAAGAAGAGCAAAACCAGCAAUGCCAGAUUGACGGAUGACCCACAACCACAAUCAACAAGCAAAAAAACCUCUUCUCACCAGGUCACCUCUCCUGACUCAAAGCUGUCUGAACCAAAGGUUGAUGAAGCUCAGUAGCUUCUUCACGUCACCUGCACAACACUG